ACUCAAAGGAAUUGACGGGGACCCGCACAAGCGGUGGAACAUGUGGUUCAAUUCGAUGCUACGCGAAAAACCUCACCCAGGCUUGACAUACAAGAAGUAGUGAACUGAAAGGGGAACGACCCGUUAAGUCGGGAACUUGAACAGGUGCUGCAUGGCUGUCGUCAGCUCGUGUCGUGAGAUGUUGGGUUAAGUCCCGCAACGAGCGCAACCAUUGCCCUAUGUUGCCAACUUAUUGUCUUCGGAUGAUGAGUGCACUCUUAGGGGACUGCUCGGGAUAACCGGGAGGAAGGUGGAGAUGACGUCAAGUCAGUACGGCCUUUAUGCCUGGGGCUACACACGUGUUACAAUGGGUGGUACAAAGGGUUGCCAACCCGCGAGGGGGAGCCAAUCUCAAAAAACCACCCCCAGUUCGGAUAAGAGUCUGCAAUUCGACUCUUUGAAGCCGGAAUCGCUAGUAAUGGGGGAUCAUAAUGCCCCCGUGAAUACGUUCCCGGGUCUUGUACACACCGCCCGU
rnacentral:rRNA from 1 species